rnacentral:rRNA from 1 species
CAGUAGCCACGGGAAUACGUAGGGCGCAAGCGUUAUCCGGAAUUAUUGGGCGUAAAGAGCUCGUAGGCGGUUUGUCGCGUCUGCCGUGAAAGUCCGGGGCUCAACCCCGGAUCUGCGGUGGGUACGGGCAGACUAGAGUGAUGUAGGGGAGACUGGAAUUCCUGGUGUAGCGGUGAAAUGCGCAGAUAUCAGGAGGAACACCGAUGGCGAAGGCAGGUCUCUGGGCAUUAACUGACGCUGAGGAGCGAAAGCAUGGGGAGCGAACAGGAUUAGAGACCCCCGUAGUCCCUGUCUCUUAUAU